rnacentral:rRNA from 1 species
ACCACAGUGGGCCUGAAUAAAGCCCAUGACGAUUGUCACAGCAGUGAGGAAUAUUGGUCAAUAGCCUAACGGCUGAACCAGCAACUUGGAGGAAUGUAUAGCAAUAGCUACUUGUAUCAUUGUAGAUAUGAUGCAAGAUCGACUAUGUUGAAUAAAAUUCUAGGUAGAAUUAUGAUAAUGACAUUGUCUGCCUACGUGUCUUGACCAAAUUACGUGCCAGCUGUCGCGGUAAUACGUAGAAGACUAGUGUUAUUCAUGUUUAAUCGGUUUAAAGGGUACCUAGACGGUAAAUCAAGCCUACAAAUAAAAUAAAUGAAGGGACUAAUUUGCUAGAGUUACUUAUGAGGGGGUAUUAAAGUACUGCUGGUGUAGAGAUGAAAUUCUGUCAUACCUCUUUUCAAUAGAAAAAUAAUGGCACAGGUAUAGGCGAAAGCAUCCUCUUAUGUGAUAACUGACGUUGAGGGACGAAGGCUUUGUGUAGCGAACAGGAUUAGAUACCCCAGUAGUCAAAGCAGAAAAUGAUGAAUGUCAUAGAUUAGAUAUAUAAGUUUAUUCUAUAAAUGAAAGUGUAAGCAUUCCACCUCAAGAGUAAUUUGGCAACAUUGGAACUGAAAUCAUUAGACCGUUUCUGAAACCAGUAGUGAAGUAUGUUGUUUAAUUAGAUGUUCCGCAAAAAACCUUACCACAAUUUGAAUAUUUAUAUUUUUUUUUUUAUUUUUAAUUUUCUUAUGACUCACCCGAUAAUUUUCUACCCAANGAAGAAAUAUAAUACAAGAAGAAGAAAAAAUAAUAAGAUAUAUUUACAA